rnacentral:tRNA from 1 species
GUGUGUAGCUUAGUAGUAGAGCGCUUGUCUAGCAUUCGACAGGCCCUAGGUUCAAUCCCCAGCACGGCA